UGAGCAAUCUGCCCUUCUCAUCGGAAUAAGCGUUGGAAACGACGUCUAAUGCCGAAUACGACCUCCUUUCGCAUGAUCGGAGGUGGAAAGCUCCGGCGGAGAAGGAUGAGCUCGCGGCCUAUCAGCUAGUUGGUGUGGGUAAUGGCCCACCAAGGCGACGGACGGGUAGCCCGGCCUGGAGGAGGGUGACCCGGCCACACGUGGGACUGAGACACGGCCCAGACCUCCGUACGGGGAGCAGG
rnacentral:rRNA from 1 species